rnacentral:rRNA from 1 species
CAGGACGAACGCUGGCGGCGUGCCUAAUACAUGCAAGUCGAACGGUCUUUCUAUGGAAGCUUGCUUCCACUGAGAAGAUAGUGGCGAACGGGUGAGUAACACGUGGGUAACCUGCCCAUAAGAGGGGGAUAACAUCCGGAAACGGGUGCUAAUACCGCAUAGUUUUCUUGAUCGCAUGAUCGGGAAAGGAAAGACGGCCUUUGUGCUGUCGCUUAUGGAUGGACCCGCGGCGUAUUAGUUAGUUGGUGAGGUAAUGGCUCACCAAGACGAUGAUACGUAGCCGACCUGAGAGGGUGAUCGGCCACAUUGGGACUGAGACACGGCCCAAACUCCUACGGGAGGCAGCAGUAGGGAAUCUUCCGCAAUGGACGAAAGUCUGACGGAGCAACGCCGCGUGAGUGAAGAAGGUUUUCGGAAUCGUAAAACUCUGUUGUCAGAGAAGAACAAGUUGGAGAGUAACUGCUCCAGCCUUGACGGUAUCUGACCAGAAAGCCACGGCUAACUACGUGCCAGCAGCUGC